UUUCAAGAGGAACUACAUUAAGCAAGUAUUUUCACAGCAGGUAGCUGUCCAAGGGAGAGAUUGCUGAAGCUUGGUGGCGGUGAUGGUUGUGCAUUGGCAGUGAAGGUCCAGAAGUUUCUCCAGUUCUUAAGAGAGAGGAAUCCCUGGCUCAAGAGAAUGGAGUCACUUGCCCAGGGUCAUCCAACUGAGCUGGUGCCCUUUGCACUCCCCAAGCUGCUUCUCUCUGGGUUUGGUAAAGGUUUUUUGUCUUUACGAGAAACAGGUAGAACAAAGGCAGUCAAGGGUGCAAGGAUAUUAGAAGCUGUGUUCUGUGAGCUUUCAUGAAGGCUGUGGAAGGAUCCAGGCAGGAUGGCCUCAAAUUAAGAUUUUAAUGACUCUUUGGUUUAGAAAACACACUCUUGCUGUUAACGCUAUCUUAUCAGGUAUCAUUUUUGAAUUCACAGAUGAAAGUUAAAAAAUUCAUAAUUAUACAAAUACUUGCCUUGUAUGUUUGCCUGUGUGUGUCUGUUAAGGAACAAAUGCAUAGUGCCUACAGGAAGUAAGGGCAAAAUAAUUUCAAGGACUGGGAGUUUCCGGAAUUACCUAUGGCAAAGGAAAUUGUGUGCUGCAUUUUGACAAGGUUAAAAGUAUCUACACCCAAAUAGUGACUCAAGGAGAGUAUGGGCGCCACAAGACCUUGUGAGUUUCAAACGUACAUUUAAAUGUUAUUCUUUGGGGGUUAAAAUGUUUUAUUUACAAAUGAACAAAGGUUGAUUGAUCUUGAUAAACAGGACCCCAGGUGAUCAAAAUUUCUGGCAGUAACCAUCAUUUGGUCAGUGUUUGAUCUUCGGUAAUAGAAGUAAGUAAAGUUUUGAUGUUGAUGGUGAUGAUGUGGGGUGGUUUUAGACACAAACACAUUUUUUUCACUCCUCCUAUCACGUUGACAAAAAUAACACUAAGUAAAUGCCGUCAGCUUUCUAUGACAUGCAAUUUUUCAACCAAGCAAAAUACAAUGUACCUAGGACCUCAAAGAAAUGUAAUAAUCUCAGUAUUCUUGUGAUUUGUUAGACGUUUUCCACAAACACCUACAGAAACUAUAUAUGUUUGCCUGGAGAUUUAAGGUAACAGGCUUAUAUUCGCAACAAGAUGAAUUUUUUAUUAGAUGUUAGGCAGACACAUUGUGCUGAUGCUAGAAAGUGUUUCUGAGAGAGUAUAUGCAGAAUGUCUUCUAUGGACAUUGUCAAGACCUAUUUAAAUACCUACAUCUAUUUGUAAAACUUUCUGCAUAGAUCUGUAGGAGGAGGCUAGUGAAUGAACUUUAUGAACUGGGAAGAUUCUACUAACUUUGGAUAUUCCAAAAUAAUGCAGCCGUCCAUUUAAAGUACACUAAAAUGGCACCUUUAAGGAGCAGGGGUGGUGAUGACUGGCAACUAUCAUAGGUUUGGCAGCAACAUUUUUAGACCUACAAACACGGUUGUAAAGCUGUGUUAUCCCUGUAGGAAACUGUUCUUUUGAAUGUCCAUUUUUUUUUUCUCCAGAAAAGAAACGUAGGGACUUGUCUUUAAGAUAAAACUAUAAUAAGAACCUUUAAGUUCAACUAUAUGAGGUUUAGCCUGACUUAGAAGUUUAAUAUUUAGCUUGGUUAAUUAAAUCUCAUUCUUUGCCCUGAAUUUAAUUAUUCCAACUAAUGUGGUAACUUAAUAUAAUAAUAAAAAAGAGGUUAAUUAGAAAUAGAAGAGAAUCUGACUAUUUGUUCAUCUGGCUCAGUGGGGGCAUUUCAUGAAGUGUCAGUUUAUGGAUGGCAAUGUUUUAUAGAGUAUAAAUUUUCAGUUAGUGAGGAAAUGAAAAUGAAAGACAGUAGAUAAUCAGUGAGUGAUUGUAUCAGGAAAUCACUAAAAAGCUAAUCUGUAAAGUUCAGGGCAUAUUUUAAUGUGACUUCAUGAUAAUGUAGGCAGUAUUUUUCUCCCUAGGUUGAGCUUAAAUCAUGUUCUUUAGACACAUUAUGAGUAAUUCCUUGUUUUGAGUUUCUAUUCAAAGGUAAGAAAGCCAAAUAUUUCCUACUUUUAAACAGAAAUGAGUGCUAAAAUAAAAAGAUGACCUUUCUUGCUUAGCUGUCACUUUCAAUACAAAUGGUCUGCUUUCUUAAUAUUUCUUAAUGCUCAAGUUCUGCGACCUUAAUGCUGAGGUGCUGUGCAGUGGAAUCAGACUUGGAUUCAAAUCCCAGCUGGAAAUUUGCUUAUGGUGUCAAGUUACUAUUCUUAUUGAGUCUCAGUCUUGUCAUCUGUGAAAUGAGGAUAAGGUUGUCUACACUCCUCGGGUUGCUGAGGAUAAAGUGAGAGAAUAUAGAGGAUACCAUACAGCCUGCCCGUUACAUAAUAGGUGCUCUGCAAAUGGUGGCUCCCUGUCCUCUGAACAAGUCACAAGCCUUCUUAUAAAUGAAUAACAGGUGCUAAUGUAUCAUAACACCAAAGGUAAGGCCAAGUGUUCUGGCUUAUGAACCAGGGCAGUGCUCCUUAAACUUGAAAGUACCAGUGAUUCAUUCACCUGGGGAUCUGGUUAAAUGCAGAUUCUACAUUUCUAACAAGCUCCCAGAUGAUGCUGAUACUGCUGGUUGGGGACCACCACACUUUUAAUAGCAUGGAACCAGAACAGUGACUUCUGAAUAUCGAGCUGACUUUAAGAGACUGGGCUAAGCUGUAAAAUAAAAUUUUACUCUGCCUUUUCUUUUCCCUGGUUUAAUGAUAAAAAUAUUGGGGAAAUCUG
rnacentral:lncRNA from 10 species